AGUGAACGCUGGCGGUAGGCCUAACACAUGCAAGUCGAACGGCAGCACAGUAAGAGCUUGCUCUUACGGGUGGCGAGUGGCGGACGGGUGAGGAAUACAUCGGAAUCUACUUUUUCGUGGGGGAUAACGUAGGGAAACUUACGCUAAUACCGCAUACGACCUACGGGUGAAAGCAGGGGAUCUUCGGACCUUGCGCGAUUGAAUGAGCCGAUGUCGGAUUAGCUAGUUGGCGGGUUAAAGGCCCACCAAGGCGACGAUUCGUAGCUGGUCUGAGAGGAUGAUCAGCCACACUGGAACUGGGACACGGUCCAGACUCCUACGGGAGGCAGCAGUGGGGAAUAUUGGACAAUGGGCGCAAGCCUGAUCCAGCCAUACCGCGUGGGUGAAGAAGGCCUUCGGGUUGUAAAGCCCUUUUGUUGGGAAAGAAAAGCAGCAGGUUAAUACCCCGCUGUUCUGACGGUACCCAAAGAAUAAGCACCGGCUAACUUCGUG
rnacentral:rRNA from 1 species